ACCGACGCGGAUUACGGUGGCGG
rnacentral:sRNA from 1 species